UACGGGGGGAGCAAGCGUUGUUCGGAUUUACUGGGCGUAAAGGGCGGGUAGGCGGCCACCGCAAGUCAGUUGUGAAAUCUCCGGGCUUAACCCGGAAAGGUCAACUGAUACUGCGGGGCUAGAGUGCAGAAGGGGCAACUGGAAUUCUCGGUGUAGCGGUGAAAUGCGCAGAUAUCAGGAAGAACACCAGCGGCGAAGGCGGCACUCUGGGCCGGAACUGACGCUGAGGAGCGAAAGCGUGGGUAGCAAACAGG
rnacentral:rRNA from 1 species